rnacentral:rRNA from 1 species
ACUCCUACGGGAGGCAGCAGUGGGGAAUAUUGCACAAUGGGGGAAACCCUGAUGCAGCGACGCCGCGUGAGUGAUGAAGUAUUUCGGUAUGUAAAGCUCUAUCAGCAGGGACGAAAAAAGACGGUACCUGACUAAGAAGCCCCGGCUAACUCCGUGCCAGCAGCCGCGGUAAUACGGAGGGUGCGAGCGUUAAUCGGAAUUACUGGGCGUAAAGCGCAUGCAGGUGGUUUGUUAAGUCAGAUGUGAAAGCCCGGGGCUCAACCUCGGAAUUGCAUUUGAAACUGGCAGACUAGAGUACUGUAGAGGGGGUAGAAUUUCAGGUGUAGCGGUGAAAUGCGUAGAGAUCUGAAGGAAUACCGGUGGCGAAGGCGGCCCCUGGACAGAUACUGACACUCAGAUGCGAAAGCGUGGGGAGCAAACAGGAUUAGAUACCCUGGUAGACUGUC